rnacentral:rRNA from 1 species
AUAUCAAUAAGCGGAGGAAAAGAAACUAACAAGGAUUCCCCUAGUAACUGCGAGUGAAGAGGGAAAAGCUCAAAUUUUGAAUCUGGCGGUCUUUCGGUCGUCCGAGUUGUAAUCUAGAGAAGCGUCUUCCGCGCUGGACCGUGUAUAAGUUUCCUGGAAUGGAACGUCGUAGAGGGUGAGAAUCCCGUCUUUGACACGGACUGCCAGGGCUAUGCGAUGCGCUCUCGACGAGUCGAGUUGUUUGGGAAUGCAGCUCAAAUAGGGUGGUAAAUUCCAUCUAAAGCUAAAUACAGGCGAGAGACCGAUAGCGCACAAGUA